GGGUGCGAUCAUACCAGCACUAAUGCACCGGAUCCAAUCAGAAAUCCACAGUUAAGCGUGCUUCGGCGAGAGUAGUACUAAGAUGGGUGACCUCCUGGGAAUCCUCGUGUUGCACUCC
rnacentral:rRNA from 1 species